rnacentral:rRNA from 1 species
CCCUUAGAUGUCCUGGGCCGCACGCGCGCUACACUGAGUGUCUGAGAUACGAGUCUGCCUGGUCCGGCAAGGUCUAGGUAAUCGCUAAAAGACACAUCAUGCUUGGGAUAGAUUAUUGCAAAUAUUAAUCUUGAACGAGGAAUUCCUAGUAAGCGCAAGUCAACAGCUUGCGUUGAUUACGUCCCUGCCCUUUGUACACACCGCCCGUCGCUACUGCUGAUUGGAUGUUUAAGCGAGGUUCUCGAACUGCUAGCGACUUAGCUUCGGUGAGGUCGCAGUGUGGGAAGUGAACCUAGCUUUGGUGUCUAGAGGAAGUAAAAGUCGUAACA